rnacentral:rRNA from 1 species
AACGAACGCUGGCGGCAUGCCUAACACAUGCAAGUCGAACGAGACCUUCGGGUCUAGUGGCGCACGGGUGCGUAACGCGUGGGAACCUGCCCUUAGGUUCGGAAUAACUCCCCGAAAGGGGUGCUAAUACCGGAUAAUGUCUUCGGACCAAAGAUUUAUCGCCUUUGGAUGGGCCCGCGUUGGAUUAGCUAGUUGGUAGGGUAAAAGCCUACCAAGGCGACGAUCCAUAGCUGGUCUGAGAGGAUGAUCAGCCACACUGGGACUGAGACACGGCCCAGACUCCUACGGGAGGCAGCAGUGGGGAAUAUUGGACAAUGGGCGAAAGCCUGAUCCAGCAAUGCCGCGUGAGUGAUGAAGGCCUUAGGGUUGUAAAGCCCUUUUACCCGGGAUGAUAAUGGCAGUACCGGGAGAAUAAGCUCCGGCUAACUCCGCG